AAGGAACAUUAGGGUUUUGCGGCAGGCGUCGAGCUUCCACUCUCAGGUACUUCAGAAGAGCGUUCCUCGCCGCCAUUGAGAGUGUUUGAUGAGGGAGGGAGAAAGUGCGAGAAAGUGUGGGAAAGUGCGAGAAUGUGAGAGAACAGCUGCCUCGGAUGAAAUUGAAGUAUCAUCGGCGAUCUCGAGGUUUUGUGUAAAUUUGGAUGUAUUAUAUUUUCAUCCCUUGUUUUUUCUCUAACUACAAAAUCCUCCCCAAAAUUUUUUAAUAAACCUAAAUUAAUUUUUUUUAAAUAUUUUAUAAUAUUAUCACAUUAAAUUUUUAAAAAUUGUUUUUUCACACAAAAAGGUUUCUAUACAUUUAAUAGUGAAUAUGGGAACAAAAUUUCAGAAAUAAUUUUAAUAUAUUCAUUUCAAAAUAUUUUAAAAAUUAAAUUAUUUGUAUUUUUUAAAAUAAUGAAAAAAUAACUUUUAGAAGAAUAUAAGGGUUUGUUUGAUAAUUAUUUUCGAAAAUAAAUCCGAAAAAUAGUUUUUACAAAUAGUUCUCUAUAUUUUGUAGAAUAAAGGUCUGUUUGAAACUUAAAAUAUUUUAAACAUGUUUUUAAUAUUUUUAAACAUGUUUUAAAAAUAAUUUUUAUAUUUAUUGUUUUUAAUUUUAAUCAUUUUACAUGUUUAUAUAAUUAUUUUUAAAAAACAAUCAUUAAAAAAAAAGUCAAAAUAUAUAAAACAACUAAAAGAUGUUGUGAAAACAAAAAAAAAAAAAAUGGUUUUUGGUUGUCAAAAGUAUUUUCUUGUUUUUUGUUCUGAAAAACUGUUCUCGAAAACACUUACCAAAUAAACCCUAAAUGCCCUAUUUUUUUUAAAAACAAACAUGUAUCGAUUAAAAUAAGAAUCGUUUUGAAAUUUUUUGGUAAAAGUAUUUCAAAUAUAGCAUUUUUCAAAAAAAAUAUUUUAAAUUAUUAAGAAAUGUUUCUAAUCCCAUAAAAGUUUGUUCAUAUUUAAUUAAUAAUAUAAUUUGUUGUUUCAUUUUGUAGAACCUCGGGCACUAUCAACUCUCCUAAAAACAAUUGUAGUUACAAAAAUAACCUAGCCUAUUCCCCUAAAAGCAAUUGUUAUUAUGAAAAUACCUUAUUCUUAUGGUGCAUUUACCCAUGUGUCCAUGACAUUCAAACAUAAACAGAAUUGAUGAAUGUGACCACCCUNNNNNNNNNNNNNNNNNNNNNNNNNNNNNNNNNNNNNNNNNNNNNNNNNNNNNNNNNNNNNNNNNNNNNNNNNNNNNNNNNNNNNNNNNNNNNNNNNNNNGAUGAAUUGAUGAACAACAUUUGUUUUUAAGAAAAUUGGUAAUAUAUAUUGUCAAGGGGAGAUUGUUGACAAAUUAAAGGGUGGUCACAUUCAUCAAUUCUGUUUAUGUUUGAAUGUCAUGGACACAUGGGUAAAUGCACUAUAAGAAUAAGGUAUUUUCAUAAUAACAAUUGCUUUUAAGGGAAUAGGCUAGGUUAUUUUUGUAAUUACAAUUGUUUUUAGGAGAGUUGAUAGUGCCCGAGGUUCUACAAAAUGAAAUAACAAAUUAUAUUAUUAAUUAAAUAUGAACAAACUUUUAUGGGAUUAGAAACAUUUCUUAAUAAUUUAAAAUAUUUUUUUUGGAAAAUGCUAUAUUUGAAAUACUUUUACCAAAAAAUUUCAAAACGAUUCUUAUUUUAAUCGAUACAUGUUUGUUUUUUUAAAAAAUAGGACAUUUAGGGUUUAUUUGGUAAGUGUUUUCGAGAACAAUUUUUCAGAACAAAAAACAAGAAAAUACUUUUGACAACCAAAAACCAUUUUUUUUUGUUGUUUUUACAACAUCUUUUAGUUGUUUUAUAUAUUUUGACUUUUUUUUUAAUGAUUGUUUUUUAAAAAUAAUUAUAUAAACAUGUAAAAUGAUUAAAAUUAAAAACAAUAAAUAUAAAAAUUAUUUUUAAAACAUAUUUAAAAAUAUUAAAAACAUGUUUAAAAUAUUUUAAGUUUCAAACAUACCUUUAUUCUACAAAAUAUAGAGAACUAUUUGUAAAAACUAUUUUUCGGAUUUAUUUUCGAAAAUAAUUAUCAAACAAACCCUUAUAUUCUUCUAAAAGUUAUUUUUUCAUUAUUUUAAAAAAUACAAAUAAUUUAAUUUUUAAAAUAUUUUGAAAUGAAUAUAUUAAAAUUAUUUCUGAAAUUUUGUUCCCAUAUUCACUAUUAAAUGUAUAGAAACCUUUUUGUGUGAAAAAACAAUUUUUAAAAAUUUAAUGUGAUAAUAUUAUAAAAUAUUUAAAAAAAAUUAAUUUAGGUUUAUUAAAAAAUUUUGGGGAGGAUUUUGUAGUUAGAGAAAAAACAAGGGAUGAAAAUAUAAUACAUCCAAAUUUACACAAAACCUCAAGAGAUACUUCAAUUUCAUCCGAGGCAGCUGUUCUCUCACAUUCUCGCACUUUCUCCCUCCCUCAUCAAACACUCUCAAUGGCGGCGAGGAACGCUCUUCUGAAGUACCUGAGAGUGUAAGCUCGACGCCUGCCGCAAAACCCUAAUGUUCCUUUCCAACUAUCUUUCAAUUUGAUACGACGCCAUUUCUCCGAGGAGAUCAGAGGAACUUUCCUCGAUAAAUCUGAGGUCACGGAUCGAGUAAUCUCCGUCGUCAAGAACUUCCAGAAAGUGGAUCCUUCUAAGGUAUAAAAGUUUCAUUUGCGAGAUAUUGUUUUGUUUGCUGUAUGUUUGGAUAGUGAGAAAACUCAGGAAUAAAAACAAAAAUGAUAUUUUUUUAUGAUUUGUUUUAGCUUGGAUUUUGAAAGCUAGUGAGUUCUGUUGUUUCUGUGCGAAGAUUUCUUUUUCGUUGAUGAUAACUUAAAAAGAAAAGAGUUUCCCGAAAUAUAGAGGAAUGCCUGGAUUAAAGUAAAUGACUGGUUUAGGCUCAUUUGAGUUUAGAUUUUAGGAUUUGAUUUCUUUACCAUUCUGCUUGUUUACCCUGUAACCAACCGGAGUAUUGAUUGAAAUUUUGGGGGGGGAAGAAAAGAAAAUAUAUAUUUUUUAUUUAAAAAAUGUGAAGUUGAAAAAAUCCUGGAAAAGAAUGGAAAUAGUUUUAGACUUUUCUGCGUCUCAUCUGUUUUGCCAGCAUCGGAAUGGGGCUUUGUCUAAUUGUGUUUUGGAAGGUGAAAUUAGGGUUUCUGUUUGGAAAUUGGUUGAAAUGAUACAGCAUUGGGGUGUGGCAACUUAGGGUUUCUGUUUGGAAAUCAUUAAUGUUUGGAUAAUGAUUUGCACAAAUUUUAGGCACCUCCUUUUACUCAGUCAACUAAUUGAUGGAUGAGUCUAGGUUUUUGCUUUCUUGGGUCCUUGAUAAUAUAAAUCUAUGAUUGAUCACAUAUAGUGAUGGUCAUCAUCUAAGAUUCAGCAUUUUGUUUUUUCUUCUAUUUUCCCACAUUUUUGAGAAACCAAAUGGAGUAUUAGUAGUUAUGUUCUGGAAAACUGACUAGUGGGGUCUGAGUUUUUGUACAUAAUAUGAAGCUCCUCAUGAGGAUAUUUGAUAAAAUGAAUAGUUGCUUACAUUUUUUUAGGUAAAAAUUUAAGUUAUAAAAAGCCUGAAUUCUAGAAUCUGAAUGACUCGUAGAUUAAACUCAAUUAGUAAUGAGUUUGUAUCCUAAUCACCAUGCAAGAGACAUAAAUUUACAUUCUUCAAGAGAGUUUUGAUGGAAUCCCAAAAGAGUAAAAGGACUUAAGGCCCUCUUUGGGAACUGUUAUUGAAAACAGUUUUCUAAUUUAGAAAACAUGUUUGAUAAACUUUUGAGAAAAAAAAAAAACAGCUUUUAAAGAAUUUGUUCUGAGGUGUUUCAGUUUUUUUUUUUUUUUUUUUUAUAGUAUUUUUGCAACAAUUGAAAAUAUGGAGUAUACUUUGAGAACUUUUACAUUGUAUAUAAGUGUAUAAUAUCUUCAUGGAAAUGGAGAAUAACUAGAAAAAAAAAUGUUUUUCAUAUUUAAGUUCUCAAACAGAAUUUUGUUUGAGCCCCUUUUGCUCUCCCUCACUCCCCGAAUCAGAGUUUUUGCCAGAUGUUGAUCCACCGCCAUCGCCAAAUCCUUACAAACGCCCUUCACCUCCGCCACUUCUCCCAAUCUGCUGCCGCCGCGGUUCUCCAGGACCCCCUUGAACCACCACCGCUUACGUACCUGGAAGGCUUCCCUAGACCCGAUCCCAAAUUCGCAGAAAUCAUACGCGCCAUCCCUCGCACCAUCUCCGGCAAGAACAUCUCUGCCAAGGAGCGGAAAGUCGGCCGCGUCCCCAGCAUUGUGUUCGAGCAAGAAGACGGUCAACACGGCGGCAACAAGCGACUCAUUUCUGUGCGGACCAACCAGAUUCGGAAGCUCGUCAACCACCUGGGCCGGUCUUUCUUUUUGUCGCGUUUGUUUGAUCUCGAAGUCGGACCCGAUUUUGAGUCCAAUGAGGUCAUCGAGAAAGUUCGGGUUUUGCCUCGAAAGGUACGGUUUUCAGAUGUUCUGUUUGGUUUUUUGAAACUUGUUGAUCGGAAAUUGGGCCUCAUUAUUUGGAAUUUCUGUUUCCUGCGAUAUUUUCAGCUUCAUCUGCAUGCAGGCACGGAUGCAGUGCUUAAUGUGACCUUUAUAAGGGCCCCUUCUCACGCAUUAUUGAAGGUUGAUGUUCCUCUUGUUUUUAGGGGAGAAGAUGUGUCUCCUGGAUUGAAAAAAGGUAACGCAUUUUGACACGUAUCAAGUGUUUGUAGUUUUGACCGCUCGAGAUUUGAUUCUAAUAAAAACACAAGUAAGUCAACUUUGGUUAAUUAUAUGUCAUGCUUGGUGAAUACAGAAUAGCUGUAGCAAUUCAACACUGUGAGGUUGUGAAACAACAAUACAAAUGGGGGUGUUUAGUCUUGAUGUAUAAAGGGAGAUAGAGUUGUGGGUUUCCUCAAGAUUAAUUUUCUUUGGACAUACUGUCAAAUAUUUAAAAUGAAGUUGGAGUUGAAGUUGGUUCUUUGUGUAGAGUAGAUGGAGUCAUGCUAAUGAAGACUUUGAAUCUUAACCCACUAUUUUGGCAUAUACAAGCCAUAUCCACCCAAAGCAUGAAAAUUUUCUAAUUGUAGCUAAAUCCUCUUUUGCAUUUGUCUCCAUGUUCUACCACCUUUGGCUUGGUUUACUGGAACAUGAUUGAACCUUCUCAACUGUCACCCCAUUAUGUAUGAGGAGUUGGAGACUUGAAGUUACUUCUAGAAUUCCACUUCUGCUCCUAACUACUUGGUUUGGCUAAUAGGUCACUUUUGAGCAUAGGUUUUACUAGGGCUGAUGCAAAAAAUGAAAUCCUCAGAUGCCAAAGAUGUUGGAAGCUUAGUUCAAGGGAAGAACUAUCUAUCUUAGGUAUUGGGUGAGUUGUUGUGAUUUUACCUAGGCAGGAUGUUUAGUGGUGACAUUAUUGGUGGGACUCUAGGUGUAUGGGAGAGCCUACUAGCUUUGCCAUGAGGCUAGUUGUGGCCUUACUUGGAUAUAUGUUAUGUGGUAAGGUUCAUCCAUUAAGUUACAUUGAGCCUUAAAAUAAUCCCAAUGUGGUUCUUCAUCACAGAUUCUUUUUCUUCACCAUUACAACUUCUCAUCAGCCAGAAUGAGAUGAUGUGAAUGAGGUAUGCAUAAAAGGUUUGAAGGAAAGAUGAAAAGAUUUGGGUAUAUGGGAAACACAUAUUGAAACAAUGAUGUACAAAGUAAUGACCAAGCAAUUUUAUUUCUUCAAUAAGGUUCAAUUCAGUCAACAACCUUAGAGCUGUUAGAGAUGAUGAUGGGAAACUGGUCCUGGUGAACUAGGAGAAUUGAUCGAAUUGGUGUUUAGACUUAAUAAAUUCAGUCCCAUCUUUUUUAUUAUUGGACUAUGGUGCAUGGCACGUCCCAUGCAUGUGAAAUGAAAGAAGUGAUACUUGAAAAGAAGCCCUUGUAAACACAGUAGUUAUUAGUAGGAAUUCACACCUUACAAUUUAUCUUUGUCAAGACUGCUCUUGCCAAGAGGAGAGUUCUUUGUCGGUAUCCUUCAUUCUAUUUAGUUCAGAGGUAAUGCCCCUGAAUUUGUCCAGAAUUUAGGUUGAAUGUUUGCUACUCUUAAACAAAUAUUUUUGUGUUUUGGAGCCUGCCAGUGUGGCCCAAUUGGUUAGGGUGAAUGCUAGGAUGUGUGGUGGAGGCGCAUGGCCCCUGGUUUAAAUCCUGUUGUUGGUUUAAUUCCCUGAUUUACUUGGUGCUGGUUGUUGCGAGUGUGGUCAGUGCCCUAAGGUUUGGGUACUCAUGUAGAGUGCUAACGGCUUGUCCAUGGAAGGUUCCUUGAUCAUCAAAAUAUAAAUAUAUAUAUUUGUGUUUUGGUUGUUUUGAUUGAUUAUUGUUGAUCUAACUAUGGAGUACAUGUUUGCUUUAUGCUUUGACAGGGGCAUAUUUGAAUACCAUAAAAAGGACUGUUAAGUACCUUUGUCCAGCAGAUAUCAUCCCUCCAUAUAUUGAUGUAGAUCUAAGCGAGUUGGAUGCGGGGCAGAAGAUAGUCAUGGGGGACCUCAAAGUUCAUCCAGCUUUGAAGCUUCUUCGGUCAAAAGAUGAACCAGUUUGUAAGAUUAUGGGAACAAGGGUUUCUGACCAAAGGAAAUCUAAAUAAGCACUUAACGCCAGAUUUUGUUGAGCAAUUCUUAACAAAAGGCCACUUGAUUGAUGCAUCAUUGAGCUAAAGUAUAUUCUUUUGAGUUAGUAAGUUAAUUUCUUGAUUUAGAAAUUACCCAUUGAUAGGAUCAUGGAAUGGUAAUGUGGCCUAUGGUGUUUUCCUUCUUUUUUUGUUUCUAUUUUCGGGGAUAGUGGUGAGGUUGCAGCAGAGAGCAAGGGAUGCCAUUUGAGCUGUUUUUGAUGAUCAAGGGUAGUGACCCUGAAAGAGUCAUCUGUCCUUCAAUGUAGACUCUUGCGUGAAUGGAUUUUGGGAUCAUGCAUGUGUUUUAUGUAGCCUUGAUUAUGUGCUCUCAAUCAUCUAAUGAAUAAUACCUUAUUUCUUCUUUCAUGAUCAUCCCUUAUGUACCCACAAGUUUCAAGUUCUUCAAAAUCAAAGAACAAAACAAUAGUGGUCAAAAGCAAAUUUAUUUAAAUACAAUCCUUUGUAUAAUCCUUGGAUUCGAUCUCCUGAAUUGAUUUUGAUUCAGGUUGCGACCACGUGUAGUUGAGGGUUAAUUAGGUGCAAGUUUUGUCUUGGCUUGAAGAAACAGAGAAAUGAGGCUUGUUUGCUUGAUGCUUUGAUUACUUGUAAAGAUAAUUACAACUUAAAUAUGAUUUUUUUUUUAGAUAUGAUCUUUUUACUUUAUUUGAUAAUUGCUUUUAUUUAUUUUUUGUUUAAUUUGACGACUUCAACCUAAUCUAAAAUAAAAAUAAAAUAAAAUUGGGAAAUUUUAUUAUUAUUAUUUUUUGUGUGUAUGUGUGGGUGUAAAGAUACAAGUUUCUUUUUCUUUUUCCAAAAGAAAAAAAAAAUGUAAAUUUGAAAUUAAAAUUUUGUUCAUUAAAAUUGGUUUAAGAAAAUAAAUCAUAAUUAAUUACUUGAAAUUCAAACGAUGCUUGUUAAAGAAAAUAAAAUAUUAUCCCUAUCAGAUAAUUACAUAAUAAUACUGUAAAACUUAGUGAAAAAAUAAACAAGAAAUUAUUGUCUUUAAAAAGCACUAAAUAAAAUAUAAUUUCUUGAUGAUUGAGUUCUUACCAAUAAAAUUUGAGGUACAUAAAAUGAUGUCCAACUAUAGAAAAUAUUGAAAAAAAUAAUCAAGGAAUUAAAUAAUUAUUAGCACAUUUGCAAAUGUUGAUUUUCUAUAAUUUUAACUUUAUUAAAUUAUUGACUUUUUGGUAAUUUUAGGAAAAAAGAAAAAGAAUUUCUCUUUGAGAUAUGAAAAAAAUGAUAUCCAACUAUAGAAAAUAUUGAAAAAAAUGACAAUGAAGUUAAACAAUUAUUAGCACAUUUGCAAACUAUUGAUAUAUAUUAAUAUUAAUUUUUUAUAAUUAUUAAAUUAUUAAUUUUUCCAAUAUAAAGAAUUUCCAACUCAUUUCACUUACUUUUUAUUUAUUUAUAUAAAUAUUAAAUAAUUUUAAAAUACAUAAAUUUUUAAAUAAUUUUUUGUUUUCUUUUAAAUUUUAUAAAGUGGAAUGUGAGAAAACCAUUUCCCUUAACAUUUUUUUUUCUCUUCUUAAUGUUGUUUGAUAACCAAAUAUAGCUUGAGAAAAUAAUUUUUGCCAUUACUCUUCUCCUUUAGUUAAUACCGGACCAAACAUGGCAACAAGUUCCAGUCAUCAAAUAUGUGCAAUUAAAAUAAAAUAGAAUAAACUUGGUAUAUGGUAUGUAUUAAUGAUAUUAUUAUUAUUAUUUUUUUUAUUUUGACUUUAAUAAACCUAACAAAAAUUGUGAGAAUAUAUUCCUCAUUAUGCACUUAAAUUUUGUUCAUUUCCUUCUUCUUUUUGUUCAAAGUUGGAAACUAUCUACUCUCUCUUCUCUAAAAACAGCAAUUUUUUCGAUUAGGAAAAUGAAAGCUAAUUGGAAAUUAGGGUUUUGCGGCAGGCGUCGAGCUUCCACUCUCAGGUACUUCAGAAGAGCGUUCCUCGCCGCCAUUGAGAGUGUUUGAUGAGGGAGGGAGAAAGUGCGAGAAAGUGUGGGAAAGUGCGAGAAUGUGAGAGAACAGCUGCCUCGGAUGAAAUUGAAGUAUCAUCGGCGAUCUCUUGAGGUUUUGUGUAAAUUUGGAUGUAUUAUAUUUUCAUCCCUUGUUUUUUCUCUAACUACAAAAUCCUCCCCAAAAUUUUUUAAUAAACCUAAAUUAAUUUUUUUUAAAUAUUUUAUAAUAUUAUCACAUUAAAUUUUUAAAAAUUGUUUUUUCACACAAAAAGGUUUCUAUACAUUUAAUAGUGAAUAUGGGAACAAAAUUUCAGAAAUAAUUUUAAUAUAUUCAUUUCAAAAUAUUUUAAAAAUUAAAUUAUUUGUAUUUUUUAAAAUAAUGAAAAAAUAACUUUUAGAAGAAUAUAAGGGUUUGUUUGAUAAUUAUUUUCGAAAAUAAAUCCGAAAAAUAGUUUUUACAAAUAGUUCUCUAUAUUUUGUAGAAUAAAGGUCUGUUUGAAACUUAAAAUAUUUUAAACAUGUUUUUAAUAUUUUUAAAUAUGUUUUAAAAAUAAUUUUUAUAUUUAUUGUUUUUAAUUUUAAUCAUUUUACAUGUUUAUAUAAUUAUUUUUAAAAAACAAUCAUUAAAAAAAAAGUCAAAAUAUAUAAAACAACUAAAAGAUGUUGUGAAAACAAAAAAAAAAAAGGUUUUUGGUUGUCAAAAGUAUUUUCUUGUUUUUUGUUCUGAAAAACUGUUCUCGAAAACACUUACCAAAUAAACCCUAAAUGUCCUAUUUUUUAAAAAAACAAACAUGUAUCGAUUAAAAUAAGAAUCGUUUUGAAAUUUUUUGGUAAAAGUAUUUCAAAUAUAGCAUUUUUCAAAAAAAAUAUUUUAAAUUAUUAAGAAAUGUUUCUAAUCCCAUAAAAGUUUGUUCAUAUUUAAUUAAUAAUAUAAUUUGUUGUUUCAUUUUGUAGAACCUCGGACACUAUCAACUCUCCUAAAAACAAUUGUAGUUACAAAAAUAACCUAGCCUAUUCCCCUAAAAGCAAUUGUUAUUAUGAAAAUACUUUAUUCUUAUAGUGCAUUUACCCAUGUGUCCAUGACAUUCAAACAUAAACAGAAUUGAUGAACGUGACCACCCUUUAAUUUGUCAACAAUCUCCCAUUGACAAUAUAUAUUACCAAUUUUCUUAAAAACAAAUGUUGUCAUGAAAGGCUUAUAUUUUAUUCUUAGGGAGAAUUGUGUUUUGGCCCUAAUUGGGCCAAAAAUUAACAUUUAGUCCAUAUAUCAUGCAUAUUUAAGCUCAAAACCCAAACAAAGUAUGAAAAUUAAGAUGAAGGCUAUUGUAUUUCAUUAAUCCCUAAAAUACCCUUAAUCGUUACAUAGGCACAAAUGAAUGUGAAUUUCAUUUUUUUUUGUGUUUUUUCCCCUUUUUUUUCCCCUAUUAAGUAUUCCUCAUUUUUAACUUUUUUUUUUCUUUUUCUUCUAAUCUAUAUUUCUAUGUUAUAUCAAAUAAAAAGCAAUAAUGUUUUUUUGUUUUUCAUUUUUAAAUAUAUUGAAUCUUUUUACUCUUAUUAUAAGUGUUAGAAAUUUGAGGCUAAUCCAACUUAUGGUAAUCACCCUAGAGGGAGGACGAAUAGGGUGAUGGUCUCUUUUCGCAAAUUUAAACAAGUGAAUGCAAGAGACAAUUAUAUGCAAGUAUAUAAUAAUCGAUAUAUAGACAAUUGCAUAUAAAUUAAAGAGUAGGGAAGAGAGAAUGCAAACACAAGAGUUUAUAGUGGUUCGGCGCAACCCGACCUACAUCCACUCUCCUCUAACUUCAAUCCCGAGCUUGAGGUUCCACUAAUCCAAGGCUUUCAAACCAAGUCUUCAAGCAAUACAAUUGGAUUAUGGUUCCAAUUCACCCUCUUGGACUUUUGGCUCCAAGCACCCUUUACGCUUCUCAAGAGAUAUCCCACUCUUGAACAACCCCUCAAGUGAUACCCCACACUUGAGAAACUUCCUCUCAAAGAUUUACAAAUGAAUGAUCUCUCAAAAAUCCUAGUACAAGAACUUUAAACUCAAAUAAUACAAGAAAAAUUAGGAUUGAAUGAUGCACUAAAGAUAUGCAAGUUUUGAAAUAAUGGUGCGCUCAAAAAUACUAUUCCAAGGCUCAAAUAUAAUCAAGAAAUAUUUGGGAAGGUUAAGCUCUUGAAAUAAUGAAGAUUGAAACCUUUUUAUAGAAGAAAAAAGUCAAACUAGCCGUUGGGGGUUCGACCGGUCGAGCUAGGGGUUCGACCGGUCGAGUUAGGGGUCGACCGGUUGACUAGCUGUUAGCAUUUAAUGCUUGGUAGGUGACCGUUGGGCCUCAACCGAACCUCAACCAGACCUCGACUAGACCUCAACCAGUUGAGGU
rnacentral:lncRNA from 1 species